rnacentral:rRNA from 1 species
UACGGGGGGAGCAAGCGUUGUUCGGAUUUACUGGGCGUAAAGGGCGCGUAGGCGGCCACUGCAAGUCAGUUGUGAAAUCUCCGGGCUUAACCCGGAAAGGUCAACUGAUACUGCAGGGCUAGAGUGCAGAAGGGGCAACUGGAAUUCUCGGUGUAGCGGUGAAAUGCGUCGAUAUCAGGAGGAACACCAGCGGCGAAGGCA